UGCAUCCCUAAAGCGGCCAUUUUGCACCUAACAGCCACAAGUGCCAUCUCGCUCCCUUGCAGCCGAUAGCGGGGCUGAUGCCCAGGAAAGAGAGAUGCAUGCUGCCAUGUGAAAUGGACAAAGCUCCGGCUUCCUGCCGACUGUGGAAAGAUUCGUCAGAGCACUAUAGCAGGUACCAGUUGACUCUCCAGAAUGGGUUUGCCACGAAUUCUCUCACGUCAUUUCAUCCAUCAAAGUCAUAACGCUGUGUCUGUGAUCCCAUCACCAUAUCUGUGACAACAGAGUGGUAUGUCACAAACAAAACUGACUGACAUCACCCCAGGAGCUGCUGAAGGAGGAGCUACUAGUGAGUGGGAGAAAUCCCAAGCUAAGCCACCAGACUCUGAAAGAAGGAUUCAGAGGGGAGCUCACCAUGCAAAUGACUUUUUGUAUAAAUGUUCUUGUUUCAAGUUUCUUCAGGUGCAAAAUCUCCCUGUUUGAC